rnacentral:rRNA from 1 species
GGUGAACGCUGGCGGCGUGCCUAAGACAUGCAAGUCGAGCGGGGCAGGUUUAUACCUGUUCAGCGGCGGACGGGUGAGUAACGCGUGGGUGACCUACCCGGAAGAGGCGGACAACCUGGGGAAACCCAGGCUAAUCCGCCAUGUGGUCCUGUCCUGUGGGGCAGGACUAAAGGGUGGAUAGCCCGCUUCCGGAUGGGCCCGCGUCCCAUCGGCUAGUUGGUGGGGUAAAGGCCCACCAAGGCGACGACGGGUAGCCGGUCUGAGAGGAUGGCCGGCCACAGGGGCACUGGGAAACGGGCCCCAGUCCUACGGGAGGCGGCAGGUAGGAGUCGGCCGCAAUGGACGGAAGGCUGACGGAGCGACGCCGCAUGGAGGGGGAAGCCCUACGGGGUGUAAACUCCUGAACGGGGGACGAAGGCCCUGUGUAGGGGGAGGACGGUACCCAAGUAAUAGCGCCGGCCAACUCCGUG